GAGGAUAUUCUUAUAAUUUUCUUUGCACUUUCAAAGAACAAAAAAAUUGUACUCGGGCUGAGUAUCGACUAGGGGCGGAUGGUGGGGUAGGAGGAAUAAUUUUUUGGUUUUCAUUUAUUUUUUAUGUUUAAAGUCAAUUUUUAGAAUAUCUAAUUUUUUUUUUUUUUAAAUGUGACACCCGCAUUAACGAAACUGGUCUAAGAUGAGGAACUAAUGCUAAAAUUGUUAUAAAAUAACUGGGAUAUGUGCGAAUAUUGAGCUGCACGUAAAGUAGAUGAGACACAGUAUUUAACGAGGUUCGGCUAUGCCUACGUCCUCGGAGAGUAGCAGUAGUAACUUUUCCACUAUGUAAAAUAAUAGGGCUACAACUUUAGUGUUUACAAUAUAUGUGGCUCACUAAUUUUUCUCUCUUGGAGAAAUUUCUCUCCACUCUAUUUUUCUCUCUACUUACUCACCCUCUUUCUUCCUUCUCUUCCUUUCUUUCUUUCCUCACUCAUUCUUCUCUUCAUUUUGGUGUGUCUUACAAAUGAAUGAGCAAGCCUAUUUAUAGGCUAAGGUUUUGGUAAAAUACAGGGAAGGGAAGGUUCCUGGAAGAUGCAAGGAAACUUCCUGAAUUGAUAAAUACAGGGAAGGAAAGUUCCUGGAAGAUGCAAAGAAACUUCCUGAAUUGAUAAAUACAGGGAAGGGAAAGUUCCUGGAAGAUGCAAGGAAACUUCCUGAAUUGAUAAAUACAGGGAAGGGAAAGUUCCUGGAAGAUGCAAGGAAACUUCCUCUGUGGGCUCCACCUUCAAGCUUUUACAACACUCCCCCUUGGAGACCACAAAUGAUAUGGAAUAUGCCUCGUUAAAAACCUUGCCAGUAAAAACCCAGUGGGACAAAAACUGGUCGAAGGGAAAAAGAGUACAUAAUCACAUGUAACAUAAAAUUCUGUGUAUAUUGACGCGCGUGCGACACUGCCUCGUUAAAACCUUGCCAGGAAAAAUCCAGUGGGAUAAAAACCUGGACGAAGGAAGAAGAGUACAGUGUGUAAGGGUCUGUAUUGACAGCACGCUCCCCCUGAUGCUUGGCAAAAUAUCUUUAAGCCAUACUGUUGAUCAUCUGUCUGAAUAUCAUAGUUGACACUGCUGCUGUGAGUCAAUAGUGUAUGAAGGUCUUUAUUAAUACCAUGCUCCCCCUGAUGAAUAUCUCCCCAUGAAAAACUUCAUGACUAGCUUUUUCCAGUAAGCGACCAUAGAGAUUUCCUGAAUCCGCAUAUCUUAGAACACUUGGGCUAUUUAUAAGUUCACCAAAAAAAAUAUGCCCGUAUAUGGUGUUAUGCUUAGAUAGCAUCAAAUAUACCUCACAUCAUCCCAAAAUGAUGGUGAUGGAGUUGAGCCCUAUCUGGAAAAUAUGAUGUCCGGUCCAAUAUACUUCCGGAAAAUCAUUAAAGUGUCUAACGGAUAAUCGUCAUAAAAAUACUUUAAUACUUUCUUAGUAUAAGCAAGAAUCUCGUUGGCAUAAUGCUCGAUCGAGACAAAUAUUUCAUGAAUUCUGCAGAAGCUUUAAUGUGUUGCAAUCACAUUAUAAUCAAUGUACUCACUGAGGUAAUUUAUGCAUAUUAAUAUUGAGUACAAAUUUUGUGCUUCAAGCACAUGUCCUUUAGGGACUUGCUCUAUGCAAUAUCAAUCCUCUCAACGGAUUUUGGUUAAAAGGGAUUAAACUUUAUGACACAUUAUAUAGCUUUUACCCAACUAUUUGUACAUCUUUAGGAAAUCGCUUCUGGCGAUAUGCUCUGUGCAUUAAUAACCCUUAAAGAUAAUAUGUUGGUCUCCGUAAUUGUAUAAUAAGGGGGGCACAAUUGAAUCUGUAAAUAUGGAGAAAACCCAACAUUCCUUGUUUCUGCCAGAAACAGUGUGUCAUACAAAGUAGGUAUAUUCCCUUUUAUUCCGAACACCCAAGUAUAAAUUCAGUAUUAACAAAUUUUGGGGUUUGUAUUGUGGGUUUGUUCUUUCACGUUCAUUCUCAUUUAUAAUGGAAUUACCUCGUUCCAUUUUGGCCAGUGAUAUUGUCGACAUUUAAUAAUUGAACGUGGUUCCAAUCAACACAGCCCAUUGAUGAUUUGAGUAGCUACUCCAAAACCAAAAAUUGUCAUUCAUCAAUUCAUGAUCCCACCAUUCUCAUGUGCAUGCGCAUGCAUCAAUUAUAAGCAUUCCUUUGCUUUUGGGUACCCAAACUACUGCAGGGGGCUUUUAUUAUGUGAGAAUGUAGAUUAUAACCUCCAAUGGAGCGUUAUUGUACAUAGGGCGUGGAAAAUCUCCAUUUAGGGAGUUGGAACAUUUAGAACCCAUAUAUCUGUCAUGCUACAGGCAUGCCACAGAUUAAUACAUACAUGUCAAUUAAUUUCUGGGACUUUAACCCAUAUUAUGGGACUUUAACCCAUAUAAUUUGCUACGCAUUAGGUGUGCAUAAUAUCAAUAUUGACAUGUCAAAGGAUUGUCCAUUUGGGACUUCAAUCCACAUCAUUUGCUACGCAACAGGCGUGCAUCAUAUUGAUCACUGCUAUACCCAUGUUAUGUUCUUAUGGGACUUUUAAUCUGUGCAGUGUAUUAUCAAUGUAUCCAACUUGCAAUCUGUAAAAUUUGCAUUAAUAAUUCAUGGAUACAUACAAGUCAUUCUUUUGGAACGGACUUAUCUCCCCAUUUGGUUACCUUUCAAGAUAAAAUAUCAAAUAGGUAUAUAAGCAUAAAAUAACACAAGUAUUGCUUACAUCCUUAGGUGGGAAAAACUUUUCUCAAGUAUCAUUCAAGCUCAUAUCAGCCCAGUAAAUAUAAUGUAGCGCUUGAUGAUCUAGUUAUAUCCUGCAAGAGCAAAAAUCACAACUCUUUUGCCUCUGUCAAAACAAAUAACCCUCAUAGUUAGGAUUACUUCAUGGAUUCAUUCUUCAGAUGUUCAUUCUAAAGAAAUAAAAUCUCUUAUGAGCAGAGAGUUAUAAAAAGAGAAAAAAAUGCAAAAAUAAUGUGAUAUUGAUUGCAAGAGAAGGUAAGCAAUCAGGGAAGGAAGCUGGUGGGAGCAGACAAUAAGCUCUCAUAUCUCCUAGUCUAGAAGGACCUCAGGAGAUUAGAGCAUAAGGCCGCCUUUACAAUUCUUUGAUCUUGCAGAAACAUGAUCAGGGAUAGUCUUGCUUCCUGAAUGGAUGAUCAGAGAUAGUCUUGCUUCUCAGGCAUAUUAAGUGCUUACUGAUAAGAAAAACAAGCAGAUAUCGCAUCACUAGGUAUGGAGUAAACUGGAUGUCUUCUGCAAAGGAAAUUUCGUUAGUAACACAUUUAUACACAAAUACAAUGAAUAGGUAGAACCGGUGAAUUUCAAAUUAACCAUAGGAAAAUUGCGAGAUUCUCGGGAUGCUUUUGAAAAAGUAGAUCCGUGAAAUUCGUAAAGCAAGAUCGGCUUUGAAAAUAAUGCUUGAAAACGCCGAAAGUGCCGACAGGCAUUAUUAGAGACCACGUGAAGUUUUGGACUCUAGGAAAGAAAAAGAGAAAUAUGGGGAUCCGAGAAGAUAUUGGGAUCCUGAAAAACAGUAGCCAUAUUUCCUCUUAUAGAUAUUGCCUUUGCAAAUCUUGAUUGGAGCAACUGCGUUUCAACUUAACUUCCUUCAUUUUCUGAAACUUUAGUUUUCCUAAGGCUUUCUUCGAAACCUUCUUAAAAAUGGCUUCCUCUUCUUCCUGCCCAAAUUAUUUCAAUUUAAAUGAUGCUCCCACAACAACCAGUGACGCCCAAGUUUGGCGUCCAUCCUUUGUAUCCAAAAAUCGUCAUCUCACAAUUAAUGAUUCUGUGAUGAUGAAUGAUGCUACUGCUGUCAUAGUAGCUAGGAAUUUCAUUACUCCAAUGGAUGAAAUGUUGUUGACAGGGAGAUCAGAGGAAGAGGCUAUUAAUGACUCAAUGGCUUUCAGCAUUCAGAGUGCUGUUUCUGUUUCUAACAUGGCUGAUCGUUUGCGUGCCAGAGCAAACGAGGUUGAGAGGUUAGCUACUGAAAAUUCGUCUCUCCAAAGAAUGCUUCAUGAGUCUCAACAGGAGGUUGAGAAACUGAAAGGAGAGAAUAAUGCCUUGUUGAAACUGGUGAGUUCAUACUUUGUUGAUACACUGAGAAGGCUAGACAUGUUGCAGGUCUCCAAUGAAAGAAUUUUGGGAGACCAUGAGAAGCUCAUGGCUAAGCUUAAGAGGCGCCGUCCUCUUCCUUCAGAGGCUUCCAGAACAUAAUGUAAUUUUAUAGAUUUUACAGGGCCUGCACCUUCAUUGCAAGUGGAAAAAUCUAUCUGUUGUAUGUUCCUGUAAUAAUAAUUGCGCAUAUUCUUAAACUUGCACCUGUGGUUUUUACGUCUUUUCAAAAUGACAAUUUGGAACCUUGUGCCUUAUAGGUUCAAAUAACCACAUCGACUCUCCCAAAUUUCAUAUUUCAAUGUAUGGUAGCCCGGAACUUAUGGCCUGGGCACAAACUCAGAAUUUAUUUGCCCUUUUCAAAUGAACAUGAAAUAUGGAUUGAGUAAAAGCCACGCUAAUAUCUCAUAUAUUUGGGUGCAUGAGCUUCCGGCCCAGAUAUAACAAAAUAUGUGGGGAGCCUCAAUUCAUCAUUCUCUUAUGCCAAAGAAAUAUGUGGCAUACCACAAUUUGCAAUAAUACCUCAAGGGUUGUCCAUUUAAUUGUUGGAACUUCAGGUUCUCAACACUUAGAUUUUGAACCUCAAGUUAAAAUCACAUGUUCUCAUGGUAUGGACAUUUUUACAAUUUUCUGUACAUAUUUCUGGACUUUAAGCCCUUACAUAAUUGUCCAUAUUUUGAGGAACUUCUGGCAUCUCAUUUAAUUGUUCAUCCAUGAGUUUAAGGAACUGCAGGUUCUCUUUUGUAUAUAGUGACGGUUUACCCAAAAUGGUUCAUAUGCAUACGUCACUAUUCAUGUGAAUAGUACUAUUCAUCAAUUCAUGAAUACGUAUCUAUUCAUCUGCCAGUACAGUUAUCAUCAAUGUGUACGGCACUAUGAACCAAUACGGUACUGUUACAUCAUUAUCCUUAUUUACAUGUCAGGAAUCAAGGACCCUUAAGUCCGAUCACAUGUUUACAAAUACAGUACCGGAGAGACUGCCAGCUCUCAUAUUAAUAUCAUCAUCAAGGAUCUUCAAGUCCUGAUGUAAUUGUAUGAUGAGGAUCAAGGAACUUCUGGUCCUGAUCUGCAUACUGUAAAAACUCAUCAUACAGCACAUACAGCACAAUUAAAAUAAAUUGCUGGUAAAUAAAUUACUGGUAUGGACGAUAAACCCGCACCACACUUUAAAUUAAUGUAAAUGUGCGGUAAAAUAAAUUCAUAAAUUAAAUUGCUUGUUGUAUGGACGUUAAUCCCGCACCAUACCUUAAAUAAAAUUAAAUGUGCGGUAAAGUAAACGUGCUUGUAUGGGCACUAAUCCUGCUCCAUACAUUUAAAUAAAAGUAAAGGCGUGGACGAUAAACCCGCACCACCCUUUUAAAUAAAUGUAAAUGUGCGGUAAAUUAAAUUCAUAAAUUAAAUUGCUUGCUGUAUGGACGUUAAUCCCGCACCAUACCUUAAAUAAAAUUAAAUGUGCGGUAAAGUAAACGUACUUGUAUGGGCACUAAUCCUGCUCCAUACAUUUAAAUAAAAGCAAAGGCGUGGGCGAUAAACCCGCACCACCCUUUUAAAUAAAUACUGUUGUAUGGGUAAUAAACCUACACCAUACAGUAAAUAAAAUAAAUGUGCGGUAAAGUAAAUUUCAUAAAGUAUAAAUAAUAGUGCAGCACAAAAAUUAUACCUGAGAACUUCUCGUGCUGAUAACGUGUUAUAAAAUAACUGGGAUAUGUGCGAAUAUUGAGCUGCACGUAAAGUAGAUGAGACACAGUAUUUAACGAGGUUCGGCUAUGCCUACGUCCUCGGAGAGCAGCAGUAGUAACUUUUCCACUAUGUAAAAUAAUAGGGCUACAACUUUAGUGUUUACAAUAUAUGUGGCUCACUAAUUUUUCUCUCUUGGAGAAAUUUCUCUUCACUCUAUUUUUCUCUCUACUUACUCACCCUCUUUCUUCCUUCUCUUCAUUUCUUUCUUUCCUCACUCAUUC
rnacentral:lncRNA from 1 species